rnacentral:rRNA from 1 species
GACGAACGCUGGCGGCGUGCUUAACACAUGCAAGUCGAACGGAAAGGCCUGCUUUCCCUUGUGGAUUGCGGGUGCUCGAGUGGCGAACGGGUGAGUAACACGUGAGUGAUCUGCCCCCAACUUGGGUAUAAGCCCGGGAAACUGGGUCUAAUUCCCGAUAGGACUGCAGGGUGGUGCCUGUGGUGGAAAACGAUUUUCUAGUGGUUGGGGAUGAGCUCGCGGCCUAUCAGCUUGUUGGUGGGGUAAUGGCCUACCAAGGCGGCGACGGGUAGCCGGCCUGGGAGGGUGGACGGCCACAUGGGGACUGGGAUACGGCCCAGACGCCGACGGGAGGCAGCAGUGGGGAAUAUUGCACAAGGGGCGGAAGCCUGAGGCGGCGACGCCGCGUGGGGGAUGACGGCCUUCGGGUUGUAAACUCCUUUCGACCGCGAGGAAGCCACCUGGUUGGAAGGGUGGUGACGGUAGUGGUAGAAGAAGCACCGGCUAACUACGUG